UUCACGCCAAUACAUGAAGACAAGAUCUGCUUUCUGCGAUCUACUUCGCCAUCAAUAUGGGAAGACAAGAUCUGCGUCGUCGAUCCACUUCCUACCAAUAUAGGAAGAUAGGAUCAGCUAUCUUCGAUCUACUUCUUGCCCCGGGAGAUAGAACUAUCAGCUUCAAUGUACUCCACUGUAAUCAUGGAGGUAAAAUCUGCCAUCUUCGAUCUGCUUUGCUGCCAAAUACAGGAAGGCAAGAUCUACAAUCUUCAAUCUAUUCCACUGCCAAAUACAGGGAGAUAGAGUUAUCGGCUUCAAUGUACUCCACUGUGGUCAGGGAGGUAAAAUCUGCCAUCUUUGAUCUGCUUCGCUGCCAAAUACAGGAAGGCAAGAUCUGCA
rnacentral:lncRNA from 1 species